rnacentral:rRNA from 1 species
AGCUCCAAUAGCGUAUAUUAAAAUUGCUGCAGUUAAAGCGUCCGUAGUUGGAUUUCGUCCAAAUCGAAGAGGUAUUCGUCAGCAAACUUGUUGAAUGUAAUUCUCUUUGUUUGGGACUCGGGUGGGUUGAAUCUCAAACCACUCUGUUACUUUGAGCAAAUUGGAGUGCUCCAACCAGGCUAAUGCUUGAACAGCUCAGCAUGGAAUAACAAUAUAGGACUGUGUUCCGCCUUGUUGGUGAAGUGGAAUACAAGUAAUGGUUGAUAGGGACAUACGGGGGCAUCUGUACUUGCUGGAGAGAGGUGAAAUUCUAAGACCCAGCAAAGACAAACAAGUGCGAAAGCAUUUGCCCAGUGUGUGCCUG